rnacentral:rRNA from 1 species
UUGAGACUAGUCAUCGAAAUGGGUACAACGUAAACCCUUUAACGAGGAUCUAUGAGAGGGCAAGUCUGGUGCCAGCAGCCGCGGUAAUUCCAGCUCUCAAGGUGUAUAUCAUUAUUGCUGCGGUUAAAAAGCUCGUAGUUGGAUCUGAGCCUAUGGAUUCAGUUCACCUCUGUGUGAUACUGCUAAUUCUGGGUUAAUUUCGUCGGUUUACCGGCGAGAGUUACUCUGAACAAAUCAGAGUGCUCAACACAAGCGUUUCGCUUGAAUGUUUUUGCAUGGAAUAAUGGAAAAGGACUUCGGUUCCUUGCUGUUGGUUUCGGAAUUGGAUUAAUGAUUAAGAGGGACCAACGGGGGCAUACGUAUCGCUGCGCGAGAGGUGAAAUUCAUGGACCGCAGCGAGACGUCCUACAGCGAAAGCAUUUGCCAAGAAUGUCUUCAUUAAUCAAGAACGAAAGUCAGAGGUUCGAAGGCGAUUAGAUACCGCCGUAGUUCUGACCGUAAACGAUACCAUCUAGCGAACCGAUGGCGGUGUAUCACUGCCUCGUCGGGGAGCUUCCCGGAAACGAAAGACUUCCGGUUCCGGGGGUAGUAUGGUUGCAAAGCUGAAACUUAAAGGAAUUGACGGAAGAGCACCACCAGGAGUGGAGCCUGCGGCUUAAUUUGACUA